rnacentral:rRNA from 1 species
CCCGUGGGUACUGCGGGAGGACAUUCAAUAUUUUGUUUGGUUGUUUGGGUUUUUUUUUCUGGAAGGGGAUCGCCUUUUGUCUCUGACCCUUUGGAGUACCUUGUGCCCUUUCGAGGGCAAUGAGGGAAAUGAAGGGAAGGAGCUUGAGGAACGCCUCUCCUGAGACAAUGGAACAAAGCUGUACAAUGGAUGCCUAGGCUCCCAUUACGAUGAAAAACAUAGCGAAUGAUGAAGGGAGUGUGCAUUGCAAAUCUUUUUGAACACUACGUCUUUGAAUGCAGACAUUGCGCCAGGACUACCUGGCAAGUUUGAUUGACUGCUAGUUGUAUAUCGAAUAACUAAAAGGAUAGGAAAUGGAAGGAGCUUGGUCUUUUGACCACCCCACAUUUUUCUUUGAGGUUGGUUCGUCAAAGAGAAGCUUUGUCUUUCCUUGGGUCUCUUGUCUCUGAUGAGGAGACGAGAGGGAAGAGGAGGGAUGGAGUAGUACCUUUUGCAACUGGCGUCAGUUAAGCUAGACGACCCGGUGAACUUAAGCAUAUCAAUAAGGCGGGAGGAACCU